AACGGCCAUGCCAUGCUGAAUAUACCGGUUCUCGUUAGAUCACCGAAGUCAAGCAUCAUGGGCGCGGUCAGUACGGGUGGUGCUGCAGGAACACCGCGUGCCGUU